UAGCUCAGUGGUUAAAGCACUUGACUUGUAAUCAAGGUCCUGGGUUCGAAUCCCAC
rnacentral:tRNA from 1 species